GAUGAACGCUGGCGGCGUGCCUAAUACGUGCAAGUCGAGCGAAUGGAUUAAGAGCUUGCUCUUAUGAAGUUAGCGGCGGACGGGUGAGUAACACGUGGGUAACCUGCCCAUAAGACUGGGAUACCUCCGGGAAACCGGGGCUAAUACCGGAUAACAUUUUGAACCGCAUGGUUCGAAAUGGAAAGGCGGCUUCGGCUGUCACUUAUGGAUGGACCCGCGUCGCAUUAGCUAGUUGGUGAGGUAACGGCUCACCAAGGCAACGAUGCGUAGCCGACCUGAGAGGGUGAUCGGCCACACUGGGACUGGGACACGGCCCAGACUCCUACGGGAGGCAGCAGUAGGGAAUCUUCCGCAAUGGACGAAAGUCUGACGGAGCAACGCCGCGUGAGUGAUGAAGGCUUUCGGGUCGUAAAACUCUGUUGUUAGGGAAGAACAAGUGCUAGUUGAAUAAGCUGGCACCUUGACGGUACCUAACCAGAAAGCCACGGCUAACUACGUGCCAGCCGCCGCCGUAA
rnacentral:rRNA from 1 species